rnacentral:tRNA from 1 species
GCGGGAUUGGUUUAGUGGCAGAACGCCAGCUUCCCAAGCUGGAAAUACGGGUUCGAUUCCCGUAUCCCGCACUA